ACGGAGGGUGCAAGCGUUAUUCGGAAUUACUGGGCGUAAAGGGCGUGCAGGCGGGAGAGCAAGUCUGAUGUGAAAGCCCGGGGCUUAACCCCGGAAGGGCCUUGGAAACUGCUUUUCUUGAGUUCUGGAGAGGAAGGGAGAAUUCCCGGUGUAGAAGUGAAAUCCGUUGAGAUCGGGAGGAACAUCAGUGGCGAAGGCGCCCUACUGGGCAGCAACUGACAGUGAGGCGCGAAAGCUUGGGGAGCAAACAG
rnacentral:rRNA from 1 species